GUACAUCCUUAAAACUAAUAUUACCCUUUAGAGAAGUCAAUUAAUUCACUCUGAAUUUUAAGUAAACCUUAGUAUGUAAAUACAUUAAUCCAGGUAUAACUUAACGCCACGUAGUUAUCGUAUCAAAAUCCACUCCAGUCUAAAUUUUUGUCCGGAUCAAACUUUCCUUUUAAGAAAUGGAACUGACAAAAGUUGCAAAAAAUCAUAGCCGGAAAUCCAUCCAAAAGAUUUAUACCGUGUCUUGUGGAGAGAAAUCGCUAACUCGUGAUUAUUCUGAUGUUUUUUAUCCCUUCAGGAUUCAUGCCUUUCUAUGCAGAAUGAUGUAGGAAGGGCCUGCCAAGCUAGCCCUACAAUCUGUCUCUUUCUUCGGCCCCGAGUUGAAGCCAUAUGAGCAGGAAAAUUACGAAAUUAACAUCGAAAUUGUGCAGACCGAUCAGGGUCUAAAGACGGCGCUGGCCACGUAUCUGCCACUCCAGCGACGUGACGUGGUCGCGUGGUACACUGACCCAAUGGUCGUUGAGCUGGGGGAAAUUCCUCUCCCACCGAAAACAUGGGUGGACAUUAGAUUCUAAUUAAAUGGACCUCGCACUUGUACCCUGGAGAAACAAAAAUUGGAACAUAUCGCUAACGAAGUCGGGGGAGAAAGCUCUCUUCAGAUUCAUACGCUUCCGAGUGCUGGGAAUUUGAAUAAACUCACAUUCGUUUGAUUCGUUUCCACUUAGAAAGAUGUCCCAGACUUUUAAUAAAAGUAUUAUUUGGACAGUGACGAGUAGGUUGUUCAAAUGCUUGUUAAAAUAAAAAUAAUAAUAAUAACGCCCCUUUAAGAGAAACCGUAGAGCUAAGAGGAUUUGAAGAACCUGCUCAUCAAUGUACAAAUAAUACUUUUAUUUACUGGGCAAUUCACGACAUUAUCAUAAUUUAGAGUUUAUGUAAUUGGAUGCUUUGAGAGAAUAAUAUAAUAUUUUUUUGAG